rnacentral:tRNA from 1 species
GCCUCCAUAGCUCAAUGGAUAGAGCAUCGGCCUUCUAAUCCGACGGUUGCAGGUUCGAGUCCUGCUGGAGGCGCCA